rnacentral:rRNA from 1 species
UACAUGGGGUGCAAACGUUUGCUCGGAAUCAUUGGGCGUAAAGCGCGCGUAGGCGGUUACUUAUGUCGGAUGUGAAAGCCCUCGGCUUAACUGAGGAAGUGCAUUCGAAACUGGGUAGCUAGAGUACUAAAGAGGGUCGCGGAAUUCCCGGUGUAGAGGUGAAAUUCGUAGAUAUCGGGAGGAACACCGGUGGCGAAGGCGGCGACCUGGGUAGAUACUGACGCUGAGGCGCGAAAGCGUGGGGAGCAAACAGGG